rnacentral:rRNA from 1 species
GGUUAAGCUACUAAGAGCACACGGUGGAUGCCUAGGCGCUAGGAGCCGAUGAAGGACGUGGCGAACAACGAUAAAGCCUCGGGGAGCUGUAAGCAAGCUGUGAUCCGGGGAUGUCCGAAUGGGGAAACCUAACUGGAUUCAUCUCCAGUUACUCACACCUGAAUACAUAGGGUGUGCAGAGGCAGACGAGGGGAACUGAAACAUCUAAGUACCCUCAGGAAAAGAAAACAAGAGUGAUUCCGUCAGUAGCGGCGAGCGAACGCGGAACAGCCCAAACCAAGAAGCUUGCUUCUUGGGGUUGUGGGACGUCUCUUUGGAGUUACAAAGGAAUGAGGUAGGCGAAGAGGUCUGGAAAGGCCCGCAAGACAAGGUGAAAGCCCUGUAGCUUAAAUCUCAUUCUCUCCGAGACGGAUCCCGAGUAGUGCGGGGCACGUGAAACCCCGUAUGAAUCUGCCAGGACCAUCUGGUAAGGCUAAAUACUCCCUAGCGACCGAUAGUGAAGCAGUACCGUGAGGGAAAGGUGAAAAGGACCCCGGAAGGGGAGUGAAAUAGAACCUGAAACCGUGUGCUUACAAAAAGUCAGAGCCCUAUUAAUGGGUGAUGGCGUGCCUUUUGUAGAAUGAACCGGCGAGUUACGUUCCCGUGCAAGGUUAAGGUGAAAAGCCGGAGCCGCAGCGAAAGCGAGUCUGAAUAGGGCGACUAAGUACGUGGACGUAGACCCGAAACCAGGUGAUCUACCCCUGUCCAGGGUGAAGGUACGGUAACACGUACUGGAGGCCCGAACCCACGCACGUUGAAAAGUGCGGGGAUGAGGUGGGGGUAGCGGAGAAAUUCCAAUCGAACCUGGAGAUAGCUGGUUCUCCCCGAAAUAGCUUUAGGGCUAGCCUCGGAAGUUGAGUCGUGGAGGUAGAGCACUGAUUGGAUGCGGGGCCCGCAAGGGUUACCAAGUUCAGUCAAACUCCGAAUGCCACAGACUUUAUUCCGGGAGUCAGACAGUGAGUGCUAAGAUCCAUUGUCGAAAGGGAAACAGCCCAGACCAUCAGCUAAGGUCCCCAAGUGUGUGUUAAGUGGGAAAGGAUGUGAAGUUGCACAGACAACCAGGAUGUUGGCUUAGAAGCAGCCACCAUUGAAAGAGUGCGUAAUAGCUCACUGGUCGAGUGACUUUGCGCCGAAAAUGUAACGGGGCUAAACACACCACCGAAGCUAUGGCUUGAUACAUUAGUAUCAGGGGUAGGGGAGCGUUGAAUGAAGAUUGAAGGUGUACCGCAAGGAGCGCUGGACCUCAUUCAAGUGAGAAUGCCGGUAUGAGUAACGAAAAGAUCAGUGAGAAUCUGAUCCGCCGAAAACCCAAGGAUUCCUGAGGAAGGCUCGUCCUCUCAGGGUAAGUCGGGACCUAAGGCGAGGCCGAAAGGCGUAGUCGACGGACAACAGGUUGAAAUUCCUGUACCACCGAAAGCCGUUAUGAGCAAUGGGAUGACGCAGGAGGAUAGUGACGCGGACUGAUGGAUGUCCGUUCAAGCAGUGAGGCUGGUAUGUAGGCAAAUCCGCAUACCGCAAGGCCAGGCUGUGAUGAGGAGCGAAAAUUGUAGUAGCGAAGGUCAUGAUUUCACACUGCCAAGAAAAGUCUCUAGCCAGGAAGCAGGUGCCCGUACCGUAAACCGACACAGGUGGGUGAGAAGAGAAUUCUAAGGCGCGCGGAAGAACUCUCGUUAAGGAACUCGGCAAAAUGACCCCGUAACUUCGGGAGAAGGGGUGCCCCGGUAGUGUGAAUAGCACGAGGGGGCCGCAGUGAAAAGGCCCAAGCGACUGUUUAGCAAAAACACAGGUCUGUGCGAAGCCGCAAGGCGAAGUAUACGGGCUGACGCCUGCCCGGUGCUGGAAGGUUAAGGGGAGUGGUUAGCGCAAGCGAAGCUAUGAACCGAAGCCCCAGUAAACGGCGGCCGUAACUAUAACGGUCCUAAGGUAGCGAAAUUCCUUGUCAGGUAAAUUCUGACCCGCACGAAUGGCGUAACGAUUUGGGCGCUGUCUCAACGAGAGAUCCGGUGAAAUUUUAAUACCUGUGAAGAUGCAGGUUACCCGCGACAAGACGGAAAGACCCCAUGGAGCUUUACUGCAACUUGAUAUUGAACUGGGGUGCGAUUUGUACAGGAUAGGUGGGAGCCGUAGAAACCGGAGCGCAAGCUUCGGUCGAGGCGCCGUUGGGAUACCACCCUGAUCGCAUUUGAGUUCUAACCUCGUACCGUGAUCCGGUACAGGGACCGUGUCAGGUGGGCAGUUUGACUGGGGCGGUCGCCUCCUAAAGUGUAACGGAGGCGCCCUAAGGUUCCCUCAGAAUGGUUGGAAAUCAUUCGAAGAGUGUAAAGGCAUAAGGGAGCUUGACUGCGAGACAGACACGUCGAGCAGGGACGAAAGUCGGGCUUAGUGAUCCGGUGGUACCGCAUGGAAGGGCCAUCGCUCAACGGAUAAAAGCUACCCUGGGGAUAACAGGCUUAUCUCCCCCAAGAGUCCACAUCGACGGGGAGGUUUGGCACCUCGAUGUCGGCUCAUCGCAUCCUGGGGCUGAAGUAGGUCCCAAGGGUUGGGCUGUUCGCCCAUUAAAGCGGUACGCGAGCUGGGUUCAGAACGUCGUGAGACAGUUCGGUCCCUAUCUGUCGUGGGCGUAGGAAAUUUGAGAGGAGCUGUCCUUAGUACGAGAGGACCGGGAUGGACGCACCGCUGGUGUACCAGUUGUUCCGCCAGGAGCAUCGCUGGGUAGCUACGUGCGGAAGGGAUAAGCGCUGAAAGCAUCUAAGCGUGAAGCCCCCCUCAAGAUGAGAUUUCCCAGUAUGUAAGACCCCUUGUAGACGACGAGGUUGAUAGGUUGGGGGUGGAAGUGCCGUAAGGCAUGGAGCUGACCAAUACUAAUCGGUCGAGGGCUUAUCCAA